CAGGGGAACUGAUCAUGUGACUUCUAACAACAUUUGGUGAUGCUGAGACUGUGUGACUCCAAAGCCUAGGUCCUAGGAAGCACUGUGAGCCUCUUCUUGAACCCUCUUCUUGGAUCACGUACUGGGGAGAAGUCCGCUGCCGUGUCACAAGAAGGGAAACUGAAGCUCAACAGACUUCUCAAGGACAGGUAACCUCAGACCCGGUU
rnacentral:lncRNA from 1 species